AGGGGGAGCACUGGAUCUUGGGCUUUGUCCCCGGCACCCUGUGCUCCCAGACCCGUGCUAUUGGAAUCGCAAUCUCGGCUGCGCAUCACCCU
rnacentral:pre_miRNA from 1 species